rnacentral:rRNA from 1 species
UACGUAGGUUGCAAGCGUUAAUCGGAAUUACUGGGCGUAAAGCGUGCGCAGGCGGUUGUGUAAGUCAGAUGUGAAAUCCCCGGGCUCAACCUGGGAAUUGCAUUUGAGACUGUACGGCUAGAGUGUGUCAGAGGGGGGUAGAAUUCCACGUGUAGCAGUGAAAUGCGUAGAGAUGUGGAGGAAUACCGAUGGCGAAGGCAGCCCCCUGGGAUAACACUGACGCUCAUGCACGAAAGCGUGGGGAGCAAACAGG